GAAUUGCCUUUGAUACUGUUAUUCUUGAGUGUAGUUGAAGUGGGCGGAAUAUAGCAUGUAGCGGUGAAAUGCAUAGAUAUGCUAUAGAACACCAAUUGCGAAGGCAGCUCGCUAAACUAUAACUGACGCUGAGGCACGAAAGCGUGGGGAGCGAACAGGAUUAGAUACCCUGGUAGUCCACGCCGUAAACGAUGAACACUCGCUGUUGGCGAUACACAGUCAGCGGCUUAGCGAAAGCGUUACGUGUUCCACCUGGGAAUUACGAUCGCAAGGUUGAAACUCAAAGGAAUUGACGGGGGCCCGCACAAGCGGAGGAGCAUGUGGUUUAAUUCGAUGAUACGCGAGGAACCUUACCUGGGCUUAAAUGCAUAUUGACGUACUGAGAAAUCA
rnacentral:rRNA from 1 species